rnacentral:rRNA from 1 species
UGAUGACGAGACGCUAAGGCGUUGAAGCAGUGUAUGUCAGACUUCCAAGAAAAGCUCGCAAUGUCACAAAUAAAGAAUGCCUGUACCAUAACCGACACAGGUGGGUAGGUAGAGUAUACUAAGGGGCGCGAGAUAACUCUCUCUAAGGAACUCGGCAAAAUGACUCCGUAACUUCGGGAGAAGGAGUGCCUUAUUUAUAAGGUUGCAAUAACAAGAUCCAAGCAACUGUUUAUCAAAAACACAGAUCUCCGCUAAGUCGUAAGACGAUGUAUGGGGGCUGACGCCUGCCCAGUGCCAGAAGGUUAAAGAAGUUGGUUAGUGUAUGCGAAGCUGAUGACUGAAGCCCUGGUGAACGGCGGCCGUAACAAUAACGGUCCUAAGGUAGCGAAAUUCCUUGUCGGGUAAGUUCCGACCCGCACGAAAGGCGUAAUGAUUUGGAUACUGUCUCGGAGAGAGGCUCGGUGAAAUAGACUUGUCUGUGAAGAUGCGGACUACCUGCACCAGGACAGAAAGACCCUAUGAAGCUUUACUGUAACUUGAAAUUGGAAUUGGACUUUGCUUGCGCAGUAUAGGUGGGAAGCGUUGAAAAUAUUCUUGCGGGAGUAUUGGAGCUAUCAGUGAGAUACCACUCUUGUAAUGUUAGAUUUCUAACUUUGAACCAUAAUCUGGUCAAAGAACAGUUUCAGGUGGGCAGUUUGACUGGGGCGGUCGCCUCCCAAAUGGUAACGGAGGCGUACUAAGGUUUCCUCUGAACGGAUAGAAAUCGUAUCUAGAGUGUAAAGGCAUAAGGAAGCUUGACUGUGAGACCUACAAGUCGAGCAGGGACGAAAGUCGGUCUUAGUGAUCUGACGGUACUGAGUGGAAAGGCCGUCACUCAACGGAUAAAAGUUACUCUAGGAUAACAGGCUGAUCUCCCCCAAGAGUUCACAUCGACGGGGAGGUUUGGCACCUCGAUGUCGGCUCAUCGCAUCCUGGGGCGGUAGUACGUCCCAAGGGUUGGGCUGUUCGCCCAUGAAAGCGGUACGCGAGCUGGGUUCAGAACGUCGUGAGACAGUUCGGUCCAUAUCCGGUGUAGGCGCUAGAAUAUUGAGAGGAGCCUUCUUUAGUACGAGAGGACCGAGAAGGACACACCGCUGGUGUACCAGUUAUCGUGCCAACGGCAAACGCUGGGUAGCUAUGUGUGGAGUGGAUAACCGCUGAAAGCAUCUAAGUGGGAAGCCCACCUCGAGAUGAG